UUAGUUUGACAACACUAAUACAGUCUUCCCCAUAUCCAAAUAAAAAGAAAUAUUUAGACUGCAGUUACCAAGUGGUUAAGUGCUAACACUGAGCAUAAACAUACCUAAAAAAAAAAAUUGGCCUAGUCUUCCACAUCUCCAAUGACAAUUUUCCAUUCUGACUAAGUAAGUUUACCUAAUGAGUUCUAUGAUCUGUGUCUUUAUCACAACAAUUUUGCUUGGAAAUGUUCUUCCUCUUUUUCUCCACUUAAGCAAAUUACACCCAGCUCAAAUUUCCACCUUUUCUAUGAAGCCCUCUUGGAACCAAAUCUCCCAGAUUCAAGAGAGAAGAUGGACAAUACCAACCCUACUUCAGGUUGCUGAAGAAAUAAAAGGACUCUCAAGAAAAGUCAAUUUGAGAGGAGCUUGCCAUCUUCAUUAUAUCCCUAUUCCAAGUUUGUCACACCAGAGACUUUGAGGAAUUUCUCCUUGGAUAAGAAUGAAUCAGAGGCAUGAGGUGACCUGUCCAAGGUCACACAGGCAACAAACAAGUGAUGCAGCCUGGAACUGGGCUCAGUCCUCCUGAUGUCACAUCUAGCAUUUCUAUUCUCCUGUCCUGUUUUCUGCCUUUUCACUUGUUACAUCAUAUAUUGUAUGGCAUGACAUUCUAUAUGGCAAUAAAGACGGAAAAGAAAGUCUGAGCUCU
rnacentral:lncRNA from 1 species